UACAGAGGUGGCAAGCGUUGUUCGGAAUUACUGGGCGUAAAGGGCGCGUAGGCGGCCUACUAAGUCAGACGUGAAAUCCCCCGGCUUAACCUGGGAACUGCGUCUGAUACUGGAAGGCUUGAGGAUGGGAGAGGGAUGUAGAAUUCCAGGUGUAGCGGUGAAAUGCGUAGAUAUCUGGAGGAACACCGGUGGCGAAGGCGGCAUUCUGGACCGACAUUGACGCUGAGGAGCGAAAGCCAGGGGAGCAAACGGG
rnacentral:rRNA from 1 species